GACAGAGGUGCCGAGCGUUAGGCGGAAUCACUGGGCUUAAAGCGUGUGUAGGCGGAUCGUUAAGUGCCUUGUGAAAUCCCACGGCUCAACCGUGGAACUGCUCGGCAUACUGGCGAUCUUGAGCCACUUAGGGGCUACCGGAACAAAUGGUGGAGCGGUGAAAUGCGUAGAGAUCCGGAGGAACACCGAAGGCGAAGGCAGUGUCCUGGGGAGUACCUGACGCUCAGGUGCGAAGGCCAGGGGAGCGAACGGG
rnacentral:rRNA from 1 species